CGCCUUUAGCUAACACAGGUAUUAAAGGUCUCGCCUGCCCAGUGAGCUUCAACUUUAACGGCCGCGGUACCCUAACCGUGCAAAGGUAGCGUAAUCACUUGUCUUCUAAAUAAAGACCCGUAUGAAUGGCUAAAUAAGAACGAACCUGUCUCCUGCAACUAGUCAAUGAAACUGAUCUCCCAGUACAAAAGCUGGUAUACAAUCAUAAGACGAGAAGACCCCGUGGAGCUUUAAAGAUAAUACUACGCCUCACAACCCUAAGCCCCCGAUAGUAAAAACUUUCAGUUGGGGCGACUGCGGGGCAAAACAAAACCCCCAUGAACCAGGGGUUACCCCCCCCCUCCAAGGCCAACAAGCCAACGACUAAAUCAACUGACCCAGCACAUCCCUGAUCAUCGAACCCAGUUACCCCGGGGAUAACAGCGCCAUCCUCCUCAAGAGUCCCUAUCGCCAAGAGGGUUUACGACCUCGAUGUUGGAUCAGGACCCCCCAUUGGUGCAGCCGCCAAUAAAGGUGCGUUUGUUCAACGCUUAAAGUCCU
rnacentral:rRNA from 1 species